rnacentral:rRNA from 1 species
UACGAAGGGUGCAAGCGUUACUCGGAAUUACUGGGCGUAAAGCGUGCGUAGGCGGUUUGUUAAGUCCGUUGUGAAAGCCCUGGGCUCAACCUGGGAAUUGCAGUGGAUACUGGCGAGCUAGAGUGCGGUAGAGGAUGGUGGAAUUCCCGGUGUAGCGGUGAAAUGCGUAGAGAUCGGGAGGAACACCCGUGGCGAAGGCGGCCAUCUGGACCAGCACUGACGCUGAGGCACGAAAGCGUGGGAGCAAACGGGG